rnacentral:tRNA from 1 species
AACUCUGUAGUAUACAGUAUACAUAAUACAGUAAACUGCAACUUUACCAAAGCUAACAAGCCAGGGUUUC